rnacentral:rRNA from 1 species
CUACGGGAGGCAGCAGUCGAGAAUCUUCCGCAAUGGACGAAAGUCUGACGGAGCGAUGCCGCGUGAUGGAUGAAGCACUUCGGUGCGUAAACAUCUUUUAUGAGGGAGGAAGUUUAUUGACGUUACCUCAUGAAUAAGAGGCUCCUAAUCACGUGCCAGCAGGAGCGGUAAUACGUGAGCCUCAAGCGUUACCCGGAUUCACUGGGCGUAAAGGGUGUGUAGGUGGCAUAGUUAGUCGUGUGUUAAAGCCCGGAGCUCAACUUCGGAAUCGCGCACGAAACGGCUACGCUAGAGGGUGCGAGAGGUCUGUAGAACUCAUGGUGUAGGGGUGAAAUCCGUUGAUAUCAUGGGGAAUACCAAAAGCGAAGGCAGCAGACUGGCGCAUUUCUGACACUGAGACACGAAAGCGUGGGUAGCGAAUGGGAUUAGAUACCCUCGUAGUC